rnacentral:rRNA from 1 species
GUGGCUUAAGAUCAUUAUGCCAACAUCCUAGUCAAAAGACGCAGUCCUCGGUCUAGACAGGCAGUAUCAACCAAGGCUAUAACACUCCACCGAAGUAGAGCCACAUUCCUUAGUCAUUAUCCUACCAUCCAAACCGAUGCUGGCCCAGUAAGCUGCGAGGAACCCAACCAAGAAGGAAAGGAUCGCAAAAUACCAAGUCUGAUCUCAAGCCCUUCCCUUUCAACAAUUUCACGUACUUUUUCACUCUCUUUUCAAAGUUCUUUUCAUCUUUCCAUCACUGUACUUGUUCGCUAUCGGUCUCUCGCCAAUAUUUAGCUUUAGAUGGAAUUUACCACCCACUUAGAGCUGCAUUCCCAAACAACUCGACUCUUCGAAAGCACUUUACAUAGAAUUGGGCAUCUCAUCGCACGGGAUUCUCACCCUCUGUGACGUCCUGUUCCAAGGAACAUAGACAAGAGCCAACUCCAAAGUUACCUUCUUCAAAUUACAACUCGGACACCGAAGGUGCCAGAUUUCAAAUUUGAGCUUUUGCCGCUUCACUCGCCGUUACUAAGGCAAUCCCUGUUGGUUU